GGGCGGAACUGUUGACGUGGAGCAACCCGCCCCCCUUCCUGUCGCUAAAAGCUCUUUUAGCCGUGAUAUUUUAUCAUGUGUUUUCACCAACAAGAAUGAAAGAUACUCAGUCUGUGUGGGUUGUUUUAAUGCUUCUAUCUCUUUUUUUGGAAUCUUUCUUUUACAUUUGUAAACAGGCGUUUUGAAAUGUUGUUUCCAAGCAGCACACUCCGUCUUUGCAGUUUCACUUAAUGAUCAGCCGUUGGAGAAUAGAUCCCAGCUUUAAGACCGCGAUGCAUGUUGACCUCCAGGGUCACUGUUUGCUUUCCGAUCAUGCUGCGCCACCAUCUGACCUCUGAGACAGCCGGUCUGUGCAUUUCUUUUUUUUUUUUUCACAGAUUCGACUAGUUUGAUGUAAGAGGACGAGAGGCCACGGCUGAAUGUAAUUGGCCCGCUGCAGGUUGGAGGGGGCAGGAUGGCGGCUGGCAGGAGAUCACCUUCCUUGCAAAGAUCUGAGAUGGACACAGCAAUGAGAGAAAACACAGGAGGGACUCAAACAAUUCCAGGGAAAUCCAAAAAAUUGAUUAAAGUCCCAUCAGUUGUCA